rnacentral:rRNA from 1 species
AUUGAACGCUGGCGGCAGGCCUAACACAUGCAAGUAGAGCGGAUGAAGGGAGCUUGCUCCUGGAUUCAGCGGCGGACGGGUGAGUAAUGCCUAGGAAUCUGCCUGGUAGUGGGGGAUAACGUCCGGAAACGGGCGCUAAUACCGCAUACGUCCUGAGGGAGAAAGUGGGGGAUCUUCGGACCUCACGCUAUCAGAUGAGCCUAGGUCGGAUUAGCUAGUUGGUGGGGUAAAGGCCUACCAAGGCGACGAUCCGUAACUGGUCUGAGAGGAUGAUCAGUCACACUGGAACUGAGACACGGUCCAGACUCCUACGGGAGGCAGCAGUGGGGAAUAUUGGACAAUGGGCGAAAGCCUGAUCCAGCCAUGCCGCGUGUGUGAAGAAGGUCUUCGGAUUGUAAAGCACUUUAAGUUGGGAGGAAGGGCAGUAAGUUAAUACCUUGCUGUUUUGACGUUACCAACAGAAUAAGCACCGGCUAACUUCGUG